GAUGAACGCUGGCAGCGUGCUUAAUACAUGCAAGUAGAACGCUAAAGGGGGAGCUUGCUCUUAUGGAUGAGUAGCGAGCGAAUGAGUAACGCGUAGGUAACCUGCCUGGUAGCGAGGGAUAACUUUAUGAAACGAUAGCUAAUACCACAUGACAACAGGUAUUGCAUGAUAACUGUUUAAAAGGGGCAACUUUUCGACUACCAAACUAACUUGCGUUGUAUUAGCUCGUGGGGGCGGUAACGGCUAACCAAGGCGAGGAUACAUAGCCGCCCUGGGAGGGUGAUCGGCCACACUGGGACGGGGGCACGGCCCAGAGGGAUACGGGAGGCAGCAGUAAGGACUCUUGGGGAAUAGACGGAAGUAUGACCGAGCAACGACGCGUGAGCGAAGAAGGUAUUCGGAUCGUAAAGCUCUGUUUUAAGGGAAGAACGAGUGUGAGAGGGGAAAGUUCACAAUGUGACGGUAUCUUACCAGAAAGUGACGGCUAACUACGUG
rnacentral:rRNA from 1 species